AAUCAGCGGACGGGGAGGGUGAGGGACAAGAUGGCGUCUGGAGAGAGAGAUGACCCACACUCUGAGCUGGACAUUCUUCGUUCAAUCUAUCUCGACGAGGUACAAAUCGACCACGAUGCAAACGGGGAGCACCCAUGGGUGCUCAGUAUCACCCUCCACCCGUCCACAGCUCACGUCACAGAGUCCCAGUUUGUGCGCCUCACCCUCCACCUCUGUCUAACAGAGCAG